AAUAACAAGCCUUCUACCAGAAACAAGCCUUUGCGGCUUCACCGCCAUCUAGGGUUUUCGGUUUCUCAAUUCCGACCAAAUCAAAAAUUCGAAUUUCCCAAUUUGCUUCAUACAUUGAAGAAGAAUGGGCGGAAAGUGUCCGCACAGGAGUGUGAAGAAGCGUCGCUACUCUCAUAAAUCAUUUAGGCGCAGCAAAUUUCUUAUCAAGGAUAUCCUUUUAUUGAUAAUAUCCGAGUAAUUUCUGUUUUUGCUAAAAAAAUUCUGUUAAAAAAUAUGAUUUUCUUGACUUUUGAGGGUUCACGCGACGACGCCGUUUACGAUGAGCUUCAGAAAGCGGAGGGACAGAGCAAGCCCUUGCCCGUGGAUGAAGAUCUUCCAGGAAUGGGCCAGUACUAUUGUUUUCACU
rnacentral:lncRNA from 1 species